rnacentral:rRNA from 1 species
AUUGAACGCUGGCGGCGUGCUUAACACAUGCAAGUCGAUCGGUAACAGGUGUAGCAAUACAUGCUGACGAGAGGCGGACGGGUGAGUAAUGCUUGGGAAUCUGCCUAUUAGUGGGGGACAACCCGGGGAAACUCGGGCUAAUACCGCAUACGCUCUACGGAGGAAAAGCCGGGGACCGCAAGGCCUGGCGCUAAUAGAUGAGCCCAAGUCGGAUUAGCUAGUUGGUAGGUAACGGCCUACCAAGGCGACAAUCCGUAGCUGGUCUGAGAGGACGACCAGCCACACCGGAACUGAGACACGGUCCGGACUCCUACGGGAGGCAGCAGUGGGAAUAUUGGACAAUGGGGGCAACCCUGAUCCAGCGACGCCGCGUGGGUGAAGAAGGCCUAGCGGGUUGUAAAGCCC